GCUCUUGCGACUGUCUUCACUCGGCCAAAUCAGAUCAGAAGAAUCUCAACAAGAGAGACAGUACGAAGAUGAAGAUUGUGAUGCAGGUCCAGAUGAAAUGCGGGAAGUGCAGGACCAAGGCAUUGCAGAUCGCUGCUCAAGCACAUGGUACGGAAUUCGUGGGGUUCAACGGAGAGCGUCAAGAUGAAGUGGUGGUGAUAGGGAGAGGAGUUGAUGCUGUGGAGAUUGUGAGCGCAAUGAGGAAGAAGGUUGGGACGACGAGGCUACUAAGCGUUGAGGAUUGAUUGAGGAAGCCUAAAGCUAGAUCGAGAUGGGCCUAUCGAGUUUAGAAGAUUUCAGAAUUUUCUAUUAAGCACAUAGAUAGAUUUGAUUCUUCUUUCCAUACAUAUUCUCUUUCGUCCUGUCGUAGAAAAAGUGAAGCCAGAUACUUUAAUUCUUGGACUGUCAAUUACAUAUUAUGUUAUUCAUGCAUGCUUAUACUUUGAAUA